AUCGUGUGCUGGUUUGCUUUCAACAGUUUUUGGCGAUUUAUUCUGAAGAACUGAUAAUAAAAUCAAACUACGUUUCAAUAGUGAGGGGGGGGGGAGUUACAUUUCUAAUUUUUUUGUUGCAGUGUUGACCAUGGUGAUUUAUAGAUUUUAAUUGAUUGUCCCUGUGUACUGUUAAAUAUGUUAUGGUCACGUCUAAAUUCUCCUUCUGCCGCCAUUUAUCUAAAUCGCCCUUGUAGUACAUCAUUUGGAAAUUGGAGGGGACAGAGGUCUUGAAAAUGCGAUUUUUAAGGACAAUUCAUCAACGGAACCCAGUUUACACAGGCACCUCGUUUUGAAAACUUAAUUGGCAAUCGAUGAAACUCGUUCCCUUCAUUUGCACGUCCGAUGUUAGCAGGUCUGAAGAUGCGUACCUUCGGAGAUAAUCAGCAGAUCCGCUCAACCAAGGAAAGCACUUUCUAGUCAGAAAGGUCAUUUCCAUUUACUGACGCGUAGACAUUUACUCAAUUUAAGGUCUGCGGUUACAAUAAUAUUGGCAAAGUAAUUCCCCGCACUUCAAGAUGAUUUUUCUGUGGAGCCGGUUUGCGAGAUACAAGCCGUUCUGAAGAUAAUGUCCCCUUAAGGUGUCAAAAACUGGCAUGGCUAAAUUUCCAUUUUUCAGCCUACGAAAGUUGCUGCAGGUAAUUUUUUUCAAGUCUAGCACACUGAUUUAUUCUUAUACCAUCAUAAUCUUAAAAAUUAAAAAAUUAAAAGUCUUGGCCCCAGAUCGACAUUUGUGCACCUUGUCCUUCUCUAAUUGUAAUUUUUAAAUCUUAACAAAGGACUUCGUACAGUUACCUUAGUUCAACCAAUGAAUUGAUGAUUAUUUGAAACUAAAGUCCUAAUUUAGGAGGAACAUAUGCUCUUGUAAGCAUCGUCUCAAGGCUCGAGAUGUUAUUCCCACAACGGGAGAAUUAAUUAAUAGAGAACGCGAAAAUUAAGGAAAAUGUCCUUAUCUUCUGUCAAGGCUUGUUGACAAUCACGAACGCAUACGGUUGUAAUGGUGCGGAGGUCGAUGGCUACAUAAUGGCAGAUUUGUGUUAUGUUUCUUGACUAAAAAUAGUGGAAUGAAAUCUCACAAACUUUCUGAGACACAACUCAGGUUCUUUCAAGCGAGCUAAGUGGCAAUGGGUGGAUAAUACUACCAUCUGUGGUUAAAGUGCUUUUUGACACUUUAAAUCUUCACUCUUUAGGGUAGUUGUCAUUUCUUUUAUUACAGGGUUACAGGCUUCAUAUCUCUCAAACCGGUACAUAGAUCGGCUAGUUUCUCAAGUUUUUUGAUUAUAAGUGGGCACCAUUUCCUACGGAGUAGAUUUCGCUACAAAAGGUAUUUGUGGCGAGGGCAGAAAUAAAUAUUGGAAUUUCCGUACGACGAAAGUCUAGUUCAAAAGUAUACUGGUAUGUACUUGAUAAUUUAACGUCCAUAUGUGUCAUAAUUGGUUUUCUGCUUCACCUUGUUCUUCCUGGAUAGAAGAUUGACAAUCUAAGAAGGCUAGAGAAACUGGCCAGAGGAAAGCGCGCAUUUAUCGUUGUAUUGAUAAAUGCGUAUAUUCACUUGAACUGUUAAUUUAAGCCAUAAGUUAAAUCAUAAGUUAAACAGCAUAUAAAGGUAAAACGUAAAUUGAGAUGUGUAUUUCUGACAGUUAUUUAUGUGUUGAAUGUGAAAAUGAACUCUGUCACGUUAUGAUUCACAACAUAGAAAUUUCUUAAGCUUAUUGAGAAAGUCAUUUAUCUAGUUAAAUUUUGACGAUCAACAUUUAGUAAAUUGUUACAACUGGCACUCUAAAUUUUUAAAUUUCUCAUUCGAAAAAAAUUUCGAAUGUGAAAUUUUGUAAAAAUCACAAUUUUUACACCUGAUCUCAUAACUUACCAAUGAGGAAAUUUAUUAUAUUCUCUUACCUUGAAAAUUCGUUGCCGAAUUGUUUUUUUUUACUUUCACGUUAACCACGUUUGUUGACUAUCUAUAAAUUUUAUGUAGUAAUAAAUCUAGUCCUCGCUUACUAAAUGCAGUAGUAGUUUUUCAUUCUGUUUUGGAUGCAGAUUUAUUUUACAGUGACGAUUAACCGAGGCCUUUGCUAAAUUUUGAUUUGAUUAGGUGUUGUAAAAUUUCAAAUCUUAUUUUAAAAUAGCGCUGGUGUUGCAACAGUGCCGUGAUAAUAUCUAUUGUAAAUUAUAGUUUUGUAAUAAUGCAAGCAUUCUAACGAAUAGAAUAAACCAAUGACACACAUUUGGGUUUAUUAAGGAGGCACCAUUAGCUUACGUGCAGUGGCCUCACCGAACUUGGAAGUUUCAUCGAUACCACAAAUAGAAAAUCGUGACGUUCUUUUUAAAGUAAAGUAGUAGAGCGUUAUGUGUAUUUAUCUCGCUUGAAUCUCCUAAACUGGAAUUUUGAAUGUACAAUACACAGGUUGACUUCAUUUUGCACUAUUUCUGUUACGGGUAUUCUCUUCGGCGAGCUUGUCCCUAAGUGUAUUGAUGUCUAUCUGCUGUUACCGAUUUAUUGGCACAUUCUCAGUUUUGUGUACGACCGAGAAUCGGUACUUCUCCGUUGAGAGCAGUAGAAUUCGUCAAUAAGGGGUUAAGAACGUUAACAUGGUUAUCUAUAGGGAAUAUAAUUAAAAUCUAAAUAAAUCGUUUGAAAUGCUGAGGCUUGCAAUAUUACCAGGAAUUAUUUAUUACUUAAAACUACGAAUUUAUCGAUGUCAUGAUAAAUGUGUAGUAAAAUUAAAAUGGUAUUUGUAGUGGUGACCUUCAUUUCUGAUCAAGUCCAGAAAUUAUUAGUAAUCUUUAGCUGUGCAAUAAUUUUGCAAGGGAGAAUUAAUGGAUGGUCCUGCUGGGUCUUGUUCAAUCUAAAAAAUUUAAUGAAAAUUGAAGAGGGUAUGUUGCGAGAGGGUUGCCGGUCCAAUUAGCUAGUUACAGCCGUAUUUGGUCCCCAGGUCCUUUUUGCGGUUACCAAGAUUAUGUUCAGCAAACAUGUCAAUUUGAUAGGACGGAUAACACAAACUAACACCGAACAAAUCAAGGUCGGGUUGAGAAAACCUUGUUGACGAUAAUGGUACGUCGUUCAAGAGAUUAUACGGCUUGCACGCAUUAACGGAAAUAUUCUGAAAAUUUAGGCAAUCUGAAUUUUAAAUUCAAUUUAUAUGUACUUGGAUAGUUUUAUGAUACAUUUGCAAUGAAAUUAUUUAGCAUAACGGAUUCUUUGUUUUGUCAGAGAUUUCUCAUACAGUCCUUCAAAAUACCUUCAAAGGUGCUUCGUCUAGUUGCAUAAUUACGAUCGGUCCGAGCCAGUUUAAGGGUGGGUUACGUUUUAAGCUACACUCUAAGAAAUGUGGUUACGAUUACAGCCAGAAACUAAACAUAUGUAUACAUAUGUAUAACUCUACCGCUAUGGUUAUAAAUUUUUCACCCCGUGGUACUACAUAAGUUGGUUACUAUGAAAUAGUUGCGAUGAAUUUAUGUAUAACCAGUUGGUGCCAGAUUUAUUACAAUGGCGGUACAGUCAUAUGUAUGUACUUUCCGGUUAUAAUCGUAACAACAUUUCUUAGAGUGUUAUUGACAUCUUCCGAAAAUAUCCUAAAACAGUAAUAGCAAUUACAAAGUAAUUCCAUUAUUUUGAACUAAUUUAUUUCGGAAGAGUGCAUGCUUUGAUAAAGUAAAGUACAGGUAUUUAGAUAAAGCAAAUGUUCUAUGUCUUACAUAUGUUUAGUAUUUAGUUAUGCAUUGGCUAAAUUUGCUACACUCUUAAUUUUUAAUUUGAGCAUUGUACUUAAUUACGGGUGUAACGUAAAAUAAGUGUAUACAGAUCUAGUUGAACUGCUACUUUAAGCUGUACAAUAUGUAUUUUUAAAAUACAUUUAAAAUUAAAAAUUUGCACAGGUUCACCGCGUUUUCCACCAUUUCUGUUGCGGGGGUAAUUAGGGUACGGAGUCGAGCUUGUAUCAUGGUCACGGGCUUCUUACGCUCUAGCUGAUCCGAUAUAAGACUGUACGAUAGCGAAUGCAACGGAUGUAAAAUUGCGACAAUUUUACCUCGUCAUAAGGAUUAUAACCGGGUUGCAUGCAUGUAUAAUGUAAAUUUCGGUGAUUGAAACUUCCUGAAUUUUGUGCUUAAAAUCAAAUUAUAAAGCAUUGUACUCUUUCAGCACUUAUAUUUCCAGCCUGAGUCCCAUAGUUAUUGUUAGAAGGCAGUCAGAAUGGGUUAUUUAAUAUAGGGGGAAAGCUUAGAAUACAGGCUGACAUUACUUUCGGCACCACUUGUGUUACGGUUCUUUCUAAUCUUACAUUCGUAAUUUCCUGGCAAAAUUAUUCUCACUAGUUACUUUCUACCUUGUCGCUUUUCUGGAUUGCUCCAAUUUAGUUUUUCCUUAUCAACCGAAGUUUUUAACGUUAUUGAUUUGCCACGAGUGCUUUUCAUGGUGGUUCCCUCCCCUCUUUCAGUGAAGAAUACUUAAUUUGGAUAUUUUUUUUCACAGACGCUUUACUAUAAAGAUUUACUAUGUGGAGGUUUGAGGCCAUAAUAAUCUCAUAAUCUCGUAAUACCUUCGUAAUCUCGUUGUCAUCCCAUAAUACCAAUGUAUUAAUGAAUUUUUACCAAAUUCUCCAGCUUUUUAUCCUUAAUUUUUGGGUUGGUUUGCAAAAUCUGUACAAAUGUGUAACAUUUGAACACAUAUUUAAUGGGAAAUGACCAUGGUUUACCAUCAUACAAAAAUCGAGUAAGACCCAAAUAGGGACUUCUUCAUUCGUUUGUAAAUCAACUUCCAAUUACUUUUCAACUGAUGAAAAGAAAUUAUCAUGCUUUUUAUUUAGUAUUUCCUCUUGAUUCGGUGGAUAUGCUAAGACAAACUAAUCACUCAAAUAACAAAUUCUUUGCUAAAUUUGGCGGACAUAAAUCUAUUAAGCCUGACUAGAUUAUCGCGAUUAUUAUGUCUCUUAAAUUUUUUACAGAGCUGUGUCCAACGUAACUAAAAUUAUUAUAUCGUUCCUGGCCGGAAAAAAUUAUUGCCGAUUGUUGACAGACCUCCCCAUAAACCCUUUCUAUGAAUAGGAAAUAUUUUCGAAAAAUUUAACCUUGGUAAGGUUCAGUUAUGCGUCGAUUAUUUAAGGAAGUAUAUAUUAGAAUAUACAGAAUCUUAGGUAUCCCGGAUACCUAACGUACCCACUAAAUUUUCGUAUCACGAUUGCUCUUUAACCUAAAUUUUCUUCUGAUUCGGAUUGAUUGAUAAAUAUGGUCGAUAACACUGCGCAUAGGCUAGCCUUCUAUAUGUCAUGCUGUUUACAAAGCCUAAUGGUAUUCAGCUUCGUAAAAAUUUACUGAAAAUUAAGUAAUUUCAAUUACUUGCUAAAUUAAGCUAAGUAAUAAAAACACAGAAUCUUGUACAGUAUCACUGUUUAUAUUUCCAGAGUAAGUUCCCUAGUUUUUGUUAGGGCAGAGUGAGUAGAGAGUUUUGCGUAUUUCUUAAGCCCGCAUCUGAAAAGCUAAAGUUUUAAAAAUGUACAGGUCGACAUGAUUUGUUGCCGGAGACUUGGGUUAUGGAGGUCCCGUGUCUAACCGGUAAUACUUAUUACGGGCACGCGCUUCUCACGGCUCAGCUGAUCAAAUAUAUGCAAGACUGUAUGUACGGUAGCGAAAACAACGUUUAUUACAGUUGACGAUAAUUUUACGAUGUUGCAUGAAUGUAUAGUGCAAAUUUCGGUAAUAUAAACUUUCUGGAAAAUUUAUUCUUAACUUAUGGUUGUAAACCUUUUUCUACGUUUCAAUGGUUACUUAUUUGUUGGUUGCUUCCAGGCCACUUUUUCUGUUCCGCAAUUGUUCCAUUUUCUUGGGCCAUAUGUGCAGCUAAAAUGUCUGAUGUUAGGAAAACAGUAGGGUUCACGUUGUGUGAAGCUUGAAUGCAUUCCUUGUGUUAAGCCACCAAUCUUUACCUUACCACAAGAAAUAUGAUUGAAAUCCUGGAAGGUCGCAAUGUUUAGAAUCAUAAGAUUGACCAAGGCAUACAUAAUUCCUUUAUCAAACAAAGUACACUUUUAUUUCUGGUUGAACUUAUUUCAAAUCUAUUUAUUUCUCAAAUUAAAUUCAAUCACGUUGAGGCUGAUCCUCCUAAAACACUAUUGCCAAACAUCUCCACUUGUAUUUUUCUUGAUUUUCAUCCAACUCUGCUGGAACGAGAUCACCCCAUUCCAACAGUUGUGGUAACCAAUCAUUUUAAUGCAAUAAAAAUAUGGCAAGGUUAUUGGGCAUGCGGUCCGAAAAAGGCAGAAAUGUACAUAUAUACAUAUUCAACUGACGGGUAGUCGGUUAAUUUGAGAGAUAACCAAUGCCACGGCCGGAUCUGCUAAAGCCACUGAAUAUUUGGGUAGGCGAGAAUUCAUAAUGCGAUCCAAUGAAGAGGAUCACAGAACGUAGUGAUAAAUUGAAAACGGGAUAUUGCCGUAAAGACGCAUACGCAUCCCGACUUUCCAACAUCGGCUCUGUUCAUCAUAAUGUAAAUGAGGAAAGAGUUGGAGACAAAAAAAUCUUACCUGAGAUAUUAAAUCCACGAUUCAAAAAUAGGGUGCACAAUGCGACAGCCAAUCCAAUGGGCAAUCUAUGGUCCAAAAGCAUAGUAAGACACUUGAACUGGGCGGUGGUUAAAGCGUGAAAAUUGUCAAUGGUGAUUAAUUUUUUGUGUGAACUACAUAUGUCAUAACUUGACCGUGGUGAAAUUAGAGAAGAAAAUUUAUCCAUGUUUAUUCGGAUUAUUGUAAAGCACUUUUAAAUUAUUGUUCUGGUGGGCUUGAUUUUUAAAUAUGGGGAUAGUAUGAAAAUUAUCGCCCCCCCCUGGACACUAUUGGGUAAGAUGCCACUUCUGUACAUAUAUACACAUGUGUAAUGAAAUUUUUUAGCAUAUCUUAUUCUUUGCUUUCAGAGAAAUUUCUUAUACAGUCCUUCGAAAUACCUACAGGGCCAAAGGGUACUAAAUAGGUAGGCACUUUGCCGAGUUUCAUAAUGACGAUAGGUCCCAACCAGUUAAGGGCUCAGUUAUAUUUUAAGAUACGAUCCCCUUGAUUGAUUGCAUCCUCUCGAAAUACUCAGCUUAAAAUCGUGACGACAAUUUCAAAAUUAUUCAAUUAGUGUUUGAAUUAUUUAACUUGCGAAGAGGGCAUGAAUUAAUCAACUAAAAUACAUCUGGUGUUUAUGUAAAACACCUAUUUUAUGGCUAGCAUUGCAAUUAUGGUGGCAACUGCAAUGUUUUGUUAUAUUUUGUUUCACGUAAAAAUGAAUGCCUAACUUACUAUAGAAUAUGAGAAAUCUUUCGUGUAAAUUCCUUCUGGUGCAUACUUUUUCUUCUGAGAGAUAUCUUGCAACCUGCGCAAUCACUGAGGUCCGAAUUAUUUCCGUCAUGGGUAGUUUAUGAAAAGGUGUACCAAGGUGCUUAACACAUGUCGUCAGGAAUAGUGUGUCCUGGUUUGAAUAAUACACUUAAUUUAAUAUUAUGCAAAAGUAAUGAAAUCAAGAUUACUUUACAUAUUUAGACGCAACUUUGUACGACGGAGUAUCAGUAUUUAUCCGUGUGGCUGGAGAGAGAAAAGUUGUGGUAACGCUAAAUAAUUUUUGGUUUCAUUUUUGAAAGUUGGACCAGAUGCCAAGUUCUAUAGUAUUCAUCUCUUCUGCCUCUGUAUGUAUUAGGGCAUCCAGAAUCGGAAAAUUUUGAAAAACCGGUUUUCGAUUUUUCCGAUUUUGGAAAACUUUCGUAAAACCGGUUUUAGAAUUUUCCGGUUUUUUAAAUUUUCGUGAAACCGGUUUUCUAUUUUCUCCGAAACCGGUUUUCACACCUGUUUUCUACAAAAUUUUAAAAACGUGUUAAGUAUAAUGUAAAAUUGUUGAAUAAAUUUUGGGCAUUAAUUUCGGAAAAAAUAUUUCACCACAAUUUAUUUCUGCAUGAAAAACAAGACAUGACUAAUAUUUUGUAGUUCUAAAGCAAUUGUUAUCAAAAAUCGAAAACCGGUUUUCGAGUGUGGUAGAUAAAACCGGUUUUUUACAAAACGUUUUUUUUUUUGGAAAAUUAUAAAACCGGUUUUCGGGUAAAUCGAAAACCGGUUUUUAACCGGUUUUGCAAAAUCGGAAAAACCGGUUUUGGAUGCCCUAAUAUGUAUUGCAUUGCAUAGCCCGGUUACAUUAGUAUAAUGUUUUAUCUAUUCUACAACUCCUGAGGGAACAUAUAAUUUAACCUGAUUUACUAAAAUAAAUUUUUUCUUUGUAUUCUAAAUUUGCCUACAUUGUUUAAAAGAUAACAACUUACCAUUAGCCAGAGCUUUUUGACGGGAGCUCCUUAAGGAAUGCGUAACUUUGUGGGUAAUUAGUGACAUGUUUUUGGAAGGCGGUGGUAUUAAAUUAUGGGAUUAAAUACACGACAGCAACCAAAACGAGAAGUCUUGUUAAUGUCCUCAUUCUUUGUUGGUGUAUUAAAGCAAAAAAGCUUAUUUUUCGGUGGGCAACUUUACUAAACGGUUAUAUGCUUUUUAAAUGUCUGGGUUAGGUAGUUUGUACUACAUACGUACUUAUGCCAGGACGCAUGCCAGGAUGCCAGGAUAUUAGAAAUUUACUAGAAUUUUUGUAAAUAUUUACUCAUUCAAAAGCUUAGAAUUAAGAAUAACUUUAGUCACACGUUUUCAAUAUCUGAGUUUUCCUGUUUUUCAACUUGCAUUAUUAAAUAUGUGUGUACAUAUAGGUAUGUAUGUAUGUCACAUGUCAUCGACUUUACAUUGGCCGUGUUGGUUAAUGUGUAAUUAAUAAAUAAUGAUUACGUAUGUAUGCAUUGAUAUAAAUUGUACUGAUAUCCAAUGAGUUCCCCGAUUCUCACGUUUAAAUCUAGAUACAUAAUAUGUGUAUAAUAAUAAACACUUAAUCAUUGAUAUGUAAAUUGA